rnacentral:rRNA from 1 species
AACUGGGCGAUUAGUUAGUUGACGUAGACCCGAAACCGGGUGACCUAUCCAUGAGCAGGUUGAAGCGAAAGUAAAAUUUCGUGGAGGACCGAACCCACGAGCGUUGAAAAGCUCGGGGAUGACUUGUGGAUAGCGGUGAAAUUCCAAUCGAGCCCGGAGAUAGCUGGUUCUCCCCGAAAUAGCUUUAGGGCUAGCCUCAAGCUUAGAGAAACGGAGGUAGAGCACUGAAUGUCCUAGGGGGUAUUGCACUUACCGAAGACUAUCAAACUCCGAAUGCCGUUUUCUUUUACUUGGGAGUCAGACUGUGGGUGAUAAGAUUCAUAGUCAAAAGGGCAACAGCCCAGAUCGUCAGCUAAGGUCCCUAAAUGUACGUUAAGUGGUAAAGGAUGUGGGAUUGCACAGACAACCAGGAUGUUGGCUUAGAAGCAGCCACUCAUUUAAAGAGUGCGUAAUAGCUCACUGGUCGAGUGAUCCUGCGCCGAAAAUUUCCGGGGCUAAAACGUACUACCGAAGCUACGGCAUCAUUUAUGAUGGGUAGGGGAGCUUCGUAUGCAGGCUGAAGCAUGACCGUAAGGACAUGUGGACAGUAUACGAGUGAGAAUGUUGGCAUGAGUAGCGAGACGUGGGUGAGAAUCCCACGGGCCGUAAACCCAAGGUUUCCAGGGGAAGGUUCGUCCGCCCUGGGUUAGUCGGGACCUAAGCCGAGGCCGAAAGGCGUAGGUGAUGGACAACAGGUUGAUAUUCCUGUACCGCCAAUAAGCGUUUGAGAGAUGGAGUGACACAGUAGGAUAAGCUAACCGUACUGUUGGUUAUGUACGGCUAAGCAUUGAGGCAGUCUAAAUAGGCAAAUCCGUUUAGACAAUGCUAGGAUGUGAUGGGGAAGCCCUUCGGGGCGAAGUAGCUGAUUUCACACUGUCAAGAAAAGCUUCUAUCGAGUUUAAAGGCGCCCGUACCGUAAACCGACACAGGUGGGUGAGGAGAGUAUCCUAAGGCCAGCGAGAGAACUAUUGUUAAGGAACUCGGCAAAAUGACCCCGUAACUUAGGGAGAAGGGGUGCCUGUCUAUGACAGGCCGCAGAGAAUAGGCCCAAGCGACUGUUUACCAAAAACACAGGUUUCUGCUAAGUCGCAAGACGAUGUAUAGGAGCUGACGCCUGCCCGGUGCUGGAAGGUUAAGGGGAUCUGUUAGAGCAAUCGAAGCAGUGAACUUAAGCCCCAGUAAACGGCGGCCGUAACUAUAACGGUCCUAAGGUAGCGAAAUUCCUUGUCGGGUAAGUUCCGACCCGCACGAAAGGCGUAACGAUUUGGGCACUGUCUCAACAACAGACUCGGUGAAAUUGUAAUACCGGUGAAGAUGCCGGUUACCUGCGACAGGACGGAAAGACCCCAUGGAGCUUUACUGUAGCUUGACAUUGAGUCUCGGUGCUACAUGUACAGGAUAGGUGGGAGACUAUGAAGCAUGGACGUCAGUCUGUGUGGAGUCAUCCUUGGGAUACCACCCUUGUAGUACUGGGAUUCUAACCAGAGGCCAUGAAUCUGGUCUUGGGACACUGUCAGGUGGACAGUUUGACUGGGGCGGUCGCCUCCCAAAAAGUAACGGAGGCGCUCAAAGGUUCUCUCAGUACGGUCGGAAAUCGUACGAAGAGUGUAAAGGCAAAAGAGAGCUUGAUUGCAAGACAUACAGGUCGAGCAAGGACGAAAGUCGGACUUAGUGAUCCGGUGGUACCGCAUGGAAGGGCCAUCGCUCAACGGAUAAAAGCUACCCUGGGGAUAACAGGCUUAUCUCCCCCAAGAGUCCACAUCGACGGGGAGGUUUGGCACCUCGAUGUCGGCUCA